rnacentral:rRNA from 1 species
UACGAAGGGGGCUAGCGUUGCUCGGAAUUACUGGGCGUAAAGCGCACGUAGGCGGAUCUUUAAGUCAGGGGUGAAAUCCUGGAGCUCAACUCCAGAACUGCCUUUGAUACUGGAAAUCUUGAGUCUGGGAGAGGUGAGUGGAACUGCGAGUGUAGAGGUGAAAUUCGUAGAUAUUCGCAAGAACACCAGUGGCGAAGGCGGCUGUCUGGUCCGGUUCUGACGCUGAGGCGCGAAAGCGUGGGGAGCAAACAGG